AUUAUAUACAGUCGUUCCACAGUUACACUGUAUGACAAGUAUCUCUGACUGGCAGAGAUUCUGACACCGUCCCUUGUGCUUCGGUUUCUUCUUCCAUCAGCAGCACAGUACCGAACACACAGAGCUCCCGAAGUGGUCGUCACCAACUAGAUUGUUCUUCAGAAAUGACAUUCUACGGAGGCAGGCUUGUCUGCUCAUUCACGGACGUCAGUACACACCUGUGAGGCCUCGGAAGAGACCGGAACAAAGAGCGUACUCGAUACAGACCAGCUGAAUGAAUGGAUUCCUCAUCUGUACUCCACACAAAGGUAAAAACAGUCUUAGGAAAAACCACAGUUCUCUCUUGACCAUUUGGGCUGAACGGGAUGAACUGAUGCCUUGUUCUGAACCGUCUGCCUCACCUCCUGCCCUGGGAUUUGUCUUUGAAAGACAAUCCACAAGACAAACUGUGCCCUUCAUCCAUUUUCAAAGGCCUCAUUUGCCUGUCAGCUGCCCUACUUCCUUACUCGAUGGGAGGAUCGAAAGUGGGAGUAACUGAAAACUAAAAUUCUCCACCUUCAGAAACACGGGUUGUAGCAGUAAUAACGUGUUAAUAAAUACAGCAGCAUUCUGAAACCACAACAAAAGGGAACACUCCCGCCCCCAGAACCAGCAGGCCAAGUUCAGCCUGAGGCGGCCUAACCGGAUACUCACACAGCAAUGUCUUUGCCACAAUAAAGACAAGUUAAGCCUCCAUCACAAACACGUCUAAAAUACAUUGUGAUACAUCUGAUGCUUGAGAACCCAAACCAGAACAAGCUACUUUCUGACCUUCAGAUGGCUACUGACCAACGACGGACGAGAGCCUCGUACAGUAUGAGCACCCUAGGAGAAGCAAUUCUGUCGCCAGUAUGUGAGGACGACUCAAAAAAACAAAACAACAAUAAGAAACCUAGCGCUUUGUAACUUGU